AAUUUAUGUUUAUGCCGUUUCUUGAAACAAAAACAGUAGAAAAGUUAUCAAACGGGCCCUUAGUUCUUAGGGGUUGCCAACCUCAUGACCAUAUAGUCCAUUCUUGGGUGGAACAUGUAUAUGGUUGGGAGUUGGGAUCCAUGUUUAUUGAAUCAAUUUACUGUGAGCAUGGAUAAUAGUUGAACAUUAUUGGCAUCCAUGGCCAGAAUAAAAAGCCAAUGCAUUAAUUCUUGGUGGAUCCCAAGCUCUAUAGAAUUGUAAUUCAACCAUUUUUUUUUUGUCUUUUAAUGUUGGAUUCUAUCUUUCCUUAUAUUAAUAAAUCCAAUGAUUAAAGUUACUGUAAAACUAUAAACUAUUAUUAAAUCACUUUUUUAUGGACUUGAUGAAAUCAAGAAGGGCCUUAAUCCCAAAUGUUGCGAAUUUUCUCCCAAGAUUUUCAUCAUAACAUCAUGCCUUGGGUCCUACAGAUCAGUUCUUUUAAAUGUUGUGGGUUAUACUAAUUGUGAUGAUAUGAAAUAGGCCUUAAGUUUGAUUAACUUUAUGAAUAUUUAUUGAUCAUUGGAAUAGUUGACUCUGGGAUAUCUUAUGAUAAUAGUUCAUGGAUUCAUAUUGUAUUUCUCUAUCAUUGUGAGGAUGCAAUUGGUACAAAAAUUUUGGUUUAUUGACACCUGCAAUAUUUCAAAUUUGCAAUUUAAGUUAUUCCACAUUAUUUAGUGCUUUGCUUUAAUGCCAGAUACUAGUAGGCAAUCUUUGAGAUUCAUCUUUCUAGCAUUGGUUUCAAAAGGGAACAAGUCAAUUUAUUAGUUGAAGUGGUCCAUUGUACUUGAUCAAGAAGGUUGCUUCUGUGGUGCAGCAGAAAUUUGGAUUUCCCACGACGAAGACGAUUGGUGGAGGGUGUGAAAAUGAUGGUUUAUAUUAUCUUAAUUGUGGCUUUCCUACUUCUUCUGCUGUUGCUGCUACUGCUGUUAGGGAUGUGACUCAUUUCCAAUGGCACUGUUGUUUAGGACAUUUUAUAUUUGUCUAGGUUGAAACUUUUAUUUCUACUUUUAAGUCUGUUCUUAGGUUAGAAUGUGAGGCAUGUAAGUUGGGCAAAUAUCAUCAUGUGUCCUUCCCAUCUCACUCUGUGUCUCAUAGUCCAUCUUUAUUUUUUUUUAGUCCAUUAUGAUAUAUUGGGUCCUUGCAGAGUUAGUAAUAGAUUUGAUUUUUGCUAUUUUGUAACUUUUUUGGAUGAUCAUUCUCACCUUACAUGGCUUUACGUACUAAAGGACAGAUCUGAAUUUUUAUCUGUGUUUCAACAAUUCUAUAAUGAAAUAAAAACUCAGUUUGGUAUUU